rnacentral:rRNA from 1 species
GACGAACGCUGGCGGCGUGCCUAAUACAUGCAAGUCGAGCGGACUAAUGGGAGCUUGCUCCCAUUAGUUAGCGGCGGACGGGUGAGUAACACGUGGGCAACCUACCUGUAAGACUGGGAUAACUUCGGGAAACCGGAGCUAAUACCGGAUGACAUCAAGGAACUCCUGUUCCUUUAUUGAAAGAUGGCUUCGGCUACCACUUCCAGAUGGGCCCGCGGCGCAUUAGCUAGUUGGCGAGGUAACGGCUCACCAAGGCGACGAUGCGUAGCCGACCUGAGAGGGUGAUCGGCCACACUGGGACUGAGACACGGCCCAGACUCCUACGGGAGGCAGCAGUAGGGAAUCUUCCGCAAUGGACGAAAGUCUGACGGAGCAACGCCGCGUGAGCGAUGAAGGCCUUCGGGUCGUAAAGCUCUGUUGUUAGGGAAGAAUAAGUGCUAGUUGAAUAAGCUGGCACCUUGACGGUACCUAACCAGAAAGCCACGGCUAACUACGUGCCAGCCGCCGCAGUAACAC